GCUGGGCAUGGUGGUGCAUGCCUGUAGUCCCAGCUACUCAGGAGGCUGAGGUGGGAGGAUCACCCAAGCCCAGGAGCUCAAGGCUGCAGUGAGCCACGAUCAUGCCACUGCACUCCAGCCUGGGCUACAUACAGGGUGAGAACCUGUCUCAA
ensembl:misc_RNA Metazoa_SRP Metazoan signal recognition particle RNA